GCGAGCAAUAAUUGAUUCAUCACCUUCCUCACUACUAUUAGCCUAGUACUUAGAAACAGAACUCAAUUCCUACCAUUUUAGAAUGAAAAUCCUAACCCCAACCCUAGCUCAAUUCCCCCAAUUUCACGACAUUGACUCGCGUUCUGCGUUCUUCUCUCUCGCCGUCGUGGUGUUCUUCACUGCUCUGCUCUGCUCUGCUCGUGUCAUGUGCUUCUUCUCGCAUCGUGCUCUGCUCCGCCAUGUUCGAUCUUCAGCUCGCGCCAUUCUGAAACAUUCGCUUUGCUCCGCCGUGGUGUCGUUCACAUCUUCCUCUCAAGUCUCUCAGAUCUAUGAUUUGGACAGCACAGGCUUUGCAAUUCUCUUGCAGUUUCAUUUAAGCUCUAUGAUUUGGACAGCACAGGCUUUAUGAAUGCCAAGAGAUUGUUGAUAUUGGCAAAACUCUGCCGUUGUUCAUGGAGCUUCAAACCUUAGGUUACAGGACGUGAAGAAGCUGGCAUUUGAUCACAUAAUUCACAGUAUUAAGUGAACCAGAAGCAUAAGAAAAAAGCGAAGAACCAUGCUCUGAAAGUGUCUUGUUUUCAAUGCUAUAGGUCUCAUUUAAUUUGAGUUGAACCUUUUGGUUAUGUUGGCUGUGUGAUUUCCUCAGAUGGCUCUGCUAAUUGAACAAUUUGAAUGAAUGUUUGUGUGUGUGUUUGUUCUUUGUCUGUUUUCAAAAGGAAAAGGAUGAAGCAUGAGUUAAGAAAGCGCUUGUGACACUAUGUGAACUUCACAGAAGAAAAAAUUGGUUUGACAAGAGAACAACUAAUACAAUGUUCACUGUUUGUUUCCAUCCAGCACCAAGGUUUUUAUUUUCUCCUUUAUAUUUUGUGAUUGUGCGACUGUUUUGAAAUUCUGAUAUUAGGCAUAAAGAUAGUUUUUGGUGUUAUCGGGAUCAUGAAAGCAUCUUUAUCGUCUCAAUAUGAACAAGACUAAGCAGCAAAGGUAGAAUUUGAUUCACAGAGAGGCGAUGUGUGUGAUUCUCAACUGUCAGAUCAUUAGUGAUUUGAUUUUCUAAUGUAACAGUAUAGCUUUAAGAUAAUUCUAUUAUGGUGAAGAGAUUUUAUGCAUCUCAAUAAUAAAAACUAAGCUUCAUUGAUAUAUGUGCAGGUUACUUGUGGUAGUAGCUGAGAUGUUGUGCUAGAUAUUUGCAGAGUUACCAGCAUGGCCAGGGAGACAGAAGGGAGAAGAAGAAAGAAGAAACAAGAACUCACAAUGCUCAGCUGCAUGCUACCAUCUCAGGGGCUGCAGUGGCUUCUGCUGUGGCAGCCAUCGCGGCUGCAAUGGCUGCUUCAUCUGUACCAAGCAAGGAUGAGAGGAUGGCCAAGACUGACAUGGCUAUGGCCUCUGCAGCCACAUUGGUGGCCGCGCAGUGUGUCGAGGCUGCUGAGGCAAUGGGGGCCGGGAGAGAUCACCUACCUUCUGUGGUUAGCUCAGCUGUCAAUAUCCGCUCUCAUGAUAUCACUACUCUUACCACUGCAACUGCAACAAGUAGCACUCCUUGAUGACGUUGUCAAGAAUCAACAAGAGUAUAGUUGCAUUGUCAAUUAGCCCCUCAUAGGACAAAAUGUGUAGUGUGAACUAAGAGAUAGUAUCUUAUUAAUGUGUACAGAUUUAUUUAAUGAUUAAAUGAUUAUACAUGUUUCUUAACUUUUGUAUUUUCAAUGCAAAAACAAUCCUUA